UCCUCUGUGAGAGAAAAUGAAUAAGCCAAAAAAUGGAAUUUCGAAACAAACACGAUUGCUAAUUUUUUUAGAGGUUAAUCGUGUGAAGGUUUUUUUGUGAAGGCAGAGAUUUGGUAGUCAGUUGGUCAAGAACAAGAUGGUGCUGCCGUGAGUAAGGUGAUGCAAAAUGCUUCAAAAAACCAAGGUGAUGAACCAGCUGCAGAUGAUGUUAUUGGAAGACACUAGGAGGUUUUUGAAGGGUUUGUGACGAAUUAGAAGAUGGGUUCUUAUUGAAUUCGUAUUUGGUUCUACCGUUCUAGUUGCAGGCAUCACAGAGAAGUUAGGGUUUUGAAUUGUGGUUGAAUUAGAAAACGAUGGAGUUGGUUUGCUGAUGCUGAGAAGAAAUUGACCUGCUACUGGUAAUCGUUGGUGAUGAUGAUUUUAAUCUGUGAAAUGAAAACGAAAGUGAUGAGGGUAUUGACAGAUUUCUAAAUAAACGAAAGUGAUCAGAAGUUUUUCUAUGAGCUUGUUCUUGAACUUGGGUGCCAUUGAAAUUCGUUGUUGGAGAAUUGGAUUGUGUUUGUGUUGGCUCAGGAGAGUGAGAACUGCAAUGCUUGCAAGUCAUUUGACAGAAUGUCGCAGUAGACUGAAUCUGGGCAGUGUUGAAGGUUGUUGUUGCUGCAAAGAAGAAUUAGAAGUUGGAAAGAACAUAGUAAUAGCAUAAAUAUGAAAUGUGUAUAGAGAGUGUGUGAGUGGUGUCAAGUCAUGAGCGUGUACACACGUGUGUGUGGGCUGUGUAUGAGUCGAGAGAUGAGACCUGAGAGUUUUGUAUUGAGAGAGAUAUAUAUGUAAUAACUUAUCUUUCUUUAUCAAUCAAUUGAUUAAAUCGUUGCAAUGUAGACAUCAGGAUUCCUGUGUUACUAUGGUAUCAUCGAGGGGAAAGCUUAACCGCGUCGAUCCUUGGACCUAACCUAAAAUUUCAUCACCAGAACCACCAUUAAAUCGAUCUACUUCUGCUGCUGCUUCUGUUCUUCGUCAACUUCUGCUGCUGCUUCAUCCAAAAUCAAAUUAUCAGAUCUAAUUAGGUUCGUAAUUCACUAAUUAUCAAAGCUCUAUUGUGUUUUGUGAUUAUUACAGUUGUUCAUGAAGUUUUGAUUUAAGAUUCAUGGAGUAUUUAGUAUGGAGUAUGUUCUUGGAGGUUUUUGGUCGAAAUUAGGGUUUUGUUUUGAUACCUGCUGCGUCAACAAACAGGAUUAAGCAUGUAUUUUGGAUCUAAAAUUCAGUUUUAGGGUUUGGGCUCUUGGUUAUUUCAAUUUCCUGUUUGGUGUGUGGAUUGAAAUCUCUUACCUCAUCAACUAUAAUUUGAGUCUCUGCUGGUAAUCUCCAAUUUCAUUUAUAGAUUACUUUAGAUUUGAUCUCAUGUGUUCAAUUUCUACAUCACUGGCUCAACAACACACAAUUCUGUCUUCAAAAGCUUUUUCAUCAUAACUAGUUUGUGGCAACUAGUUCUUUCAUCAAGUCCUACUUGUGCUGAUACCUGGCGCUUUUAAAUCUGAGCAUGCCUAUCUCUGCUACACAUUGUCUAGAUUAGAGAGAAGCUUAAAGUUGUUCCAUUUGAAAGUGAGCAAAAUCUCCUCUUAAAUCACAGAUGUGUAUUGAUGUGUGUACGGAAUGAAGGUUUGCUGCACUAUAUGUGCUUAAUUAGCUUCUUAAUCAGUUCAUCCCAUUGGUACUGUCUUUGGUACAGUCCUCUUUUUAUGAGUGAGUUGGCUUGCGAGUUUAAUGAUGCAACUGAAGAUGAUGUUAUGGGAUUGGAAUUGGUGAGCUAUAUUCAGUACAGGUUGAAGUUCUUUUUGUUGAGCUUGUAUACAUUCAGUAUGCAACCUAGUUUUCAGCUUGUAUAUGUGUUCAAUGUGCAACCUGUAGUUCUUCUACUUUUCACGCUCUUUGAAUAAAACAGUUGACGUUCAUCUUCAAUGGUGUUUUUUUACUUUUAUUUCUUAUGUGAGUGAAUAAUCCAAAGUGCUAUGGCCUUCUGGAGAAUAAUCGAAGGUUAAUAAUCAGUUGAAGACUUUGCUUCAUGGUGCACUACUGCAGUAUCUGAAUAAGAGGAAUAAUUGCUUCUUAGUGAAAGACAUUUGCCUACUUCUGUUGCUGUUAGAUUGUUGCUAUGUCCUUGUACUCCUGUUCUGUGACUUAUGUGCUGGUACUUCAUGGAAGGGACGUCUGCCUACAGUGUUUCAUACUGCUGUAACAUUUUCGAUACACCUUCUGAAGUGGAAAUUCUGUAAUGGUGCUGAAGGUAAUUCGAUAUUUUUCAACUUGGUCAUCCCUUCAACAUGUGGAUAAUGAUUUUACAUUCUUAUCUUAAGUAGCAGCUGGUUAGAACCAAUAUACUUCAGAUUCAGGCUUUGCUCCUUGUAUCUACUGCAAGUAUUUGAUUCCUUCCAUCUGAUGCGAGGAUCUUCUACGGAUUGAUUGUGCAUUGUUAGGUGGAAUGCAGUGGCUCGUUUUUACUAUUGUUGGUGUUUUCCUGUCCACCUUCAGAUUCUCUGCUUGCAGCACUUAAUGAUGUCAUACCUGCACCAGCUCUGCGACAAGCAUUCAACAUCUACUGCAUUGCCUAUCACUGCUGCAUCAAAUUUUUUUUUUUUAAGGCUUGUCUUCUACUAGAGCUGGCAUUACUACUUCAGUUUUGCUACUACUUCAUUCUUAUGCGCUGCGACUGCUCCUAUCUAGGUAUUAUUUUCUUAUGCUAUGCUCUACUUUCUACAACAACCGCAUAUGUCAGCCUGCCAAACACUACUUCUUCCAUCUGUAUCAACUGCUGAUUCCUAAAGGGUUGUGCAGCGGAAAUUGGUAAAAUGGUUUGAGCUGGUUGCUGGUGGUGACUGAAGUGGUGAGAUUGAGCUGAAAAGAGUAAUGGUGGAAUUCUUGUUAGGGUUUUGUCAACUGAUUGAUAUUGUUGAACUAUGGAAUGGUUGUGAUCGAAUGAAAUGAUUGCAGGUAGAGAUUCAAGGUGAUGUUAGAAUUCUGAACGAUUUAGGAGCCAUGGGUUUUUGUUAAAGUCGUGAUCAUGACCAACUUCAGGCGUGUACAAGUAAUGUGUAAAAACUCUUAGAGGUGCCACGUCACAUGUACAAAUGGCGGUGAUGCGUACAUACAGUCCACGUGUACAGAGACCUUACACAUAUGACCCAGAAGAACCGGUGGAGUGAAAAUGAAACUCGGUAUAAUGAGGGACUCACUGAGUUACCAAUGAAACUCAAUGAUCUGAGGAUUUAAAAGUUUUUUUAUACUCCCCAAACGGUGCCAAAAAGGUGUUUGGCAUUGUUGGUGGUGUUGUUCGCUGGAGACAGUGGAGCUGCAAUAACCAAAUAAGUCUGUCUACCUGAAUUCAAAGGUGCGUCAAUGAAUUUUUCUUAAUCUGGUCCAAAAAUACCGAAGAAAACAUAUUUUGGCCUGUUUAUCUAUGUAUAAUAAUGUUCGUGACUUCCACCCAGUUUUGGAUUUUAUGGGUUUGUAGUAUUAGGUACUGAAUCAUACACCUGCAUCCGAGAAACUAAUGCCCAGGAAGGUGAGACUCAAGGAAUUACACAACAAAUUGGGGCGGCAAACCAUAUUUCUGCUAUGUAAUGAGUCCUGGUAUAUUGGUUAUGGAGUCCAGGACAUGAAUCUUGUACCCAUAUUGCAUUAGUGAGGGUCUGGAUUAUGUUGUAGUACAGUUUUAGCUUGGUUUAGAUUGUUUGAGCAGGAAGUCUUAAUUACUUGAACAGUUUCAGAGAAAGAAUUAAUAUUCCUGUAUGCUAAGGUGAUUAAUUUUAGUAGGAAUUACUGUUUAAUCCA